AUGAUGAUAAGUAUUUUAUUAAAUACAGGCAACCUGAGUGGAUGUUUGUCUACGGUACCAUUUUGGACAUGGUGUCCUACAUCCACAUGCCUGGUUCCUGCCAUUAGAGUGAAAACACACAAAUCUGACUUGACGGUAACAAGGAUGCUUCUGGCAAGAUGAUCUUCUUCCUGAAAAAUCAGCAAUAAUUCAUUUUAAAUGAAAAUCCACAGAGACCCCAACCACAAGGUAAGCAUCAAUCAGAGCCAAAUUUUCAUCAUUGAAUCUCUCCUGUUAAAUCUUAGCGGAAUAUAACUGUAUCAAUCCAUGCACACAGAUUCUAACAUGGAAAGUCUACAUACUGUAUCUCUCAAUAUUUCAGAACUGGCAGCCCCAGUGUGAGAAAAAAUUUUAAAUAGAAGUUAUGAAUAGUUGGUAAGGAAUUAUCAAAAGGAUGAAGUAGAUCAACCGUGUAGCAAAAUGUUUGUAGGAAUAAUUUGUUACUAUGAGAACGAAAGUAAGAAAUCUCACUAAGUUAAUUGUGGGAAAGUAAAAAUCGAUUAGAAGGUUCUUGAUAACAUUGAUCUUGGAGAGAGACAGCUCAUGUAGAAUUUGGCAACCUAAACCACCACCAUUCACUCAGUAUGCAAACUGAAUCCCAUUUUCAGGCUGUGCUGUGUCCUCAAAAUUGAACUUUCCUCAGUUUAUUAAUAGAACUGACUGUAUCCACAAAUGAUGACUUCAGGAAGUAAAAGUAUGUAACAGAUUCUGACAAAGUGAAGAUAUCAUCAGCUGAGAUGGAAAAUAGCUAUAUUAGCAAGUUUUCUGUGAUUACAUACCAAUAAAGUUUAGUGAUGUGAUAGGCA
rnacentral:lncRNA from 1 species